GAGCGAACGGAUGACGAUCUAGCUCUUAUGAAGUAAGCGGCGGCCGGGUGAGUAUCACGUGGGUACCUGCCCAUAAGAUGGGAUAACUCCGGGAAACUGGGGUCUAAUACCGGAUAACAUUUUGAACCGCAUGGUUCGAAAUUGAAAGGCGGCUUCGGCUGUCACUUAUGGAUGGACCCGCGUCGCAUAAGCUAGUUGGUGAGGUAACGGCUCAUCAAUGCAACGAUGCGUAUCCGACCUGAUAGGGUGAUCGGCCUCACUGGGACUGAUACACUGCCCAUACUCCUACGGGAGGCAUCAGUAUGGAAUCUUCCGCAAUGGACGAAUGUCUGACGGAGCAACGCCGCGUGAGUGAUGAAGGCUUUCGGGUCGUAAAACUCUGUUGUUAUGGAAGAACAAGUGCUAUUUGAAUAAUCUGGCACCUUGACGGUACCUAAUCAUAAAGCCACGGCUAACUACGUGCCAGCAUCCGCGGUAAU
rnacentral:rRNA from 1 species